CAGUCGCCACGGUAAUACGAAGGGGGCUAGCGUUGUUCGGAAUUACUGGGCGUAAAGCGUGCGCAGGCGGUUUUGUAAGACAGGCGUGAAAUCCCCGGGCUCAACCUGGGAAUGGCGCUUGUGACUGCAAAGCUAGAGUGCGGCAGAGGGGGAUGGAAUUCCGCGUGUAGCAGUGAAAUGCGUAGAUAUGCGGAGGAACACCGAUGGCGAAGGCAAUCCCCUGGGCUUGCACUGACGCUCAUGCACGAAAGCGUGGGGAGCAAACCGGAUUAGAUACCCCGGUAGUCCCUGUCUCUUAUAC
rnacentral:rRNA from 1 species